rnacentral:rRNA from 1 species
CACAAGCGGAGGAGCAUGUGGUUAAUUCGAUGAUACGCGAGGAACCUUACCUGGGCUCGAACGUAAGAUGACUGUAGGUGAAAGCUUACAUCUCUUCGGAGCAUUUUACGAGGUGCUGCAUGGUUGUCGUCAGCUCGUGCCGUGAGGUGUCGGGUUAAGUCCCAUAACGAGCGCAACCCCUACCUUUAGUUGCCAUCAGGUUAAGCUGGGGACUCUAAAGGAACUGCCUACGCAAGUAGUGAGGAAGGUGGGGAUGACGUCAAAUCAGCACGGCCCUUACGUCCAGGGCUACACACGUGCUACAAUGGCCGAUACAGAGGGCAGCUACCUGGUGACAGGAUGCAAAUCUCCAAAGUCGGUCUCAGUUCGGAUCGGAGUCUGCAACCCGACUCCGUGAAGUUGGAUUCGCUAGUAAUCGCGCAUCAGCCAUGGCGCGGUGAAUACGUUCCCGGGCCUU